rnacentral:rRNA from 1 species
UAGUCCACGCCGUAAACGAUGUCUACUAGCCGUUGGGGAACUUGAGUCCUUAGUGGCGCAGCUAACGCACUAAGUAGACCGCCUGGGGAGUACGGCCGCAAGGUUAAAACUCAAAUGAAUUGACGGGGGCCCGCACAAGCGGUGGAGCAUGUGGUUUAAUUCGAUGCAACGCGAAGAACCUUACCAGGUCUUGACAUCCAGAGAACUUUCCAGAGAUGGAUUGGUGCCUUCGGGAACUCUGUGACAGGUGCUGCAUGGCUGUAGUCAGCUCGUGUCGUGAGAUGUUGGGUUAAGUCCCGUAACGAGCGCAACCCUUGUCCUUAGUUGCCAGCGCGUAAUGGCGGGAACUCUAAGGAGACUGCCGGUGACAAACCGGNGGAAGGUGGGGACGACGUCAAGUCAUCAUGGCCCUUACGACCUGGGCUACACACGUGCUACAAUGGCCGGUACAGAGGGCAGCGAACUCGCGAGAGUAAGCAAAUCCCAGAAAGCUGAUCGUAGUCCGG